UUUAUUAAUUGAAAUCAACUAUCAAAUAUGUUGAAUUUAGAUGGUGAGUUUGAAAUUAUAAUCAGUCGUAUAAAAGAAAGAGGGUUAAAUGUACAAAAAAAGAAAAAGAUGAUAGUAAAGGGUGAAGAAGGCAAAUGAAGCAAACGAAUGAUGAUGUAAUGAAGUAUUUGAAAAGGAACGGUAGUAGAGAGAUGUCAGAAAUGCUGCAUAAAUAUGAUACGUUGUUGCUCAAAGGUGGCGACAACUGUGCAGCUCACCGCGUCAAGAAGAAAUCAGAAAGAAAGGGAAAAAGCAAAAAAUGAAAGAAGAGAAUGAUUUAAGGGCUUAUUAUAUAUGAACACAGAAUGAGCCAAGUGACAGGCGGUGAAUUUUGUAUAGCAUGAAUCCUGACAAUAUUACAAAGCUGAGACAAGUGGCACGUACCAUCAAUAAACUUCUCCAGUCCCCGCCUUCUCUCUGUUUUACGUAUGGCUUUUGCAACCGAAGGACCUCUCUGCGAUUGCCAAAUCAGGGGACUGGCACCCUCGCCUCGCAUGUUCUCGGUGCCAAAAGAUCACGAACACUUCUUAGAAUGGCAAUUGCGUCGGAUUCUUGCAGCCGUCAGAACCGCCUGAACUCUAUAUUAAAUGAAUAUAAAUAAUUGGUUAUGCUUAUCGGGGUCGGACCGUCUCAAAUUAGUCUUAUGUUUUCUUUUAAAUUCUAUAGAUAUCCAAUAAGUGUUAACUGAGUAUAUAAUUUAUAAAUUCCUUAAUUUUAAUUAUAAAUUGAGUAUCAGUAUUUACAUACGGUUAAUUAAGUUAAAUUUACCUAUGACUUAAAUGUGUUUUUUUUUUUUUUUUGCACUAAGCAACUAUGCAUGACAAAACAAGAACUUCUUCAAUAAAAUUAAAUACAUUUACAAAUUAUUAUAUAAGAACAUUUCUACAUAAUAAAGUUAGAUAACCUGCACAUUAUAUAGAUAAAUCUGGAAAUUAUAUAUAAUGUUGCAAUAUUACUUGUCCCAUGUCAAAUCUGCAAUGUAUUUUGAUGUGUUAUAGGAUUCUUAGGGGUAAAAACUACAAAUUCAAAUAUGUUUCAGGAUAAAUUAAAGUUUAAGGAUAUAAUGUGAAACACACUUAAGUUGAAAGGACAAAAUGAAAUUAUCCGCAUCAAGAGAAGACGCGCAAGAGGGAAAAAGAAGAGUACAAGUUCCUGUUAGCCCAUGAAACGAGAGAAGCGCAUAACGUUUGGGCCCAAUUUCAGUCAAAUACCCCAAAGUUGCGAAAGCAUCAUCGGCCCACUCCCGGAAGAAGACGCGGGAGGACUGCCGAUUGCGAAUUUGCAAUUACGAGUGGCGCGCGCGGGAGAGAGAGACACAACACAAAGGUGCAUUUUGGGGAAUAGAAAGUAAUCGAGAUAGUGAAGAAAAACCACCAAAUUCAGAACAGCUCUGCUGUUGUUGUUUGAAAAAGAUAAGACACUGUCGUCUCCGCAGCUUCUGACAGAAUUAGGCAGUAUUAAAGGCAUGUGCUGAAUGUCAAUUGAUCUCCCUCAAAACACUUGGGCGUUGGUGCUGAGAAAUCUGUCAGAAACAACCAGGGGAAUAGCCAAGUAGACUGAAUCAGUAAGAAUGCUAGUUCCGAAUUCAUUUUUCACUAAUUUUUGUCUUGGAUUUUAAUUGGUUGCUAUAGCUAGUGUCAUUUUUUAUCUUUACGUGACUAGAAUCUCUGCCUGUUUAUGCUCAUCAUUCUUGAUCAUGCAUUUGUAUCCCUGCUACAAAUUCCUUUAUAAGCAAAUUCAAUUAAUUUUAAUGAUUCAAAAUAAAAUCAUAACUCGCAUGAUGGAAGUAUCAAUGGACAUGAGACUAACUGUUUCUUAAAGCUGCAUAAUAUUCUGAUUGUAGUUAUGUGCCUCUAUGUGACUGCCCUUGCAGUGUUGUCGGACUUGAGGACAUUGUCCUUAACAGUCGGUCAAUGGCUUCUAACUAUACAUUGGGUAGCAAUCUGCCAAGUUCAGAAUAUUUAAAGUCUGAUGGUGAAAUGAGUUUGUCAAGUUAAUGACUGACAUUUCUAAAUUCAAUUCUCAUGUGAACGUUAGUUGCUUUAGAACUAUGGAUUGAUGAAAUUCUUUAUUAAAGUCCCUUUUGAGUUGAAGGCUGAUAGAAUCUUACCAAUCUUUUUUCCAAUGGAAUCUUUACCCUUCCAGUUAGCAAUAGGUGGAUAAUAAUUAAAUCUUGUUUCCUAAAUCUUGCUAUAAGAUUUUGUGGUCCAUACUAAGGAUGGUUCGAAAGCUGGUCUCUAUAGAAAUUUGCAGGCUUCAACACCACCAAAGAAAAGUUUGAAAACUCCCCUUCUCCUUCUGUUGGCGAAAUAAAAUGACUGACUUUGACAUUGAAAGUAUUAGAAUUAUUAUUAUUAUUAUUAUUAUCAUCCUGAUUUCUCCUCUGUGCAUAUCUCUUCUUAACUCUCAAAAAAUAAGGAGAUCCUUCUUCCUCCAUCCUGCCUGAAGUUUGUACUUUUACACGCAAUUCUCACAUGUCCGCCUCCCUGAAAAUUCCUCAUUUGACAAUCUUAUGCGUACUCUCUUGUCUUAUAUAUGAUUGCUGACUUGAAAAUUUCCAAUUUGGACAAAUUUAUACGGCUCUGGAUGUCAAAACCUAUCACUAGAAAGAUCUCUUGCCCUGCUAUUAUUUACUGCAUAUAGCUAGAAACUAGAGUACAUGAAGCAGCAGGUUGUUGUGGCCUUUACAUGCUCCUAUGUGUCAAUGAUUUCAGCAUGUCAUGCUUUUAAAUGCAUCAUUGACCCUUUUUUCUAGACUAUCUAGAGAAUUCAUUUCCUCCGGAUUAUUUGAUAUUAAUUUCUUCAACUGGUGUCCAUGAGUUGUUUUUUGCCUAGUUCCGUGUUGUAGCAUAAAUCGCCUACCUAUAAAAUUAUAAAUUCUGCAGAACAAGUUUAUCAAAGAAUUAUCUUCUUAGCUGUUCAUAUUGUCCAGCUUUUGGCCCCUAAUUAAAUAGGAAAUGAAUGAUUUAACAUUGAUAGGCACAUCCGCUGGUUGUUGCAGAAGGGGGGCAAUUAGGCCCUUCAUUUAUAUUAAGGGACCCAACUCACAUGUAUAUUUUCUUUAUGUAGAUUCAUAUUUGAUCAGACCAUAUCACUUGAAUGUGGCUAAAAUAUUGCACAAGUCAUUGUUGCAGAGAUACUAAGCAACCUCUUUAAACUUAAAUUUGUCCAAACAAAACAGCAAAUUUAAAAAGUGGUUGUUUUGGGAACUGGUCAACUUGCAUAAUUGAUAAUACAUUCCCUGUCUGCAAAGUAUUUGUUUGUUUAAUGAAAUGUCAAAAUUGCCCAUCUGUGAUUGAGACCUUACAUUGCGUUGCCCUUAUAGGACAGGUAAACCGGUAGACUUGAACCUUGUUCCUACAUGACCCGAUCAAUUUGAUUAGGUACUCGCCAUCUAUUUUUAUUGUUCAACUCUUUGACAAC